rnacentral:rRNA from 1 species
UACAGGGGGGGCAAGCGUUGUUCGGAAUUACUGGGCGUAAAGGGCUCGUAGGCGGCCGACUAAGUCCGACGUGAAAUCCCAAAGCUUAACUUUGGAACUGCGUCGGAUACUGGAUGGCUUGAAUUCGGGAGAGGGAUGCGGAAUUCCAGGUGUAGCGGUGAAAUGCGUAGAUAUCUGGAGGAACACCGGUGGCGAAGGCGGCAUCCUGGACCGGUAUUGACGCUGAGGCGCGAAAGCCAGGGGAGCAAACGGG